AAGACUAUACUUUCAGGGAUCAUUUCUAUAAAUUUCUGAUUUGAGAAAUGUGUUUCUUGAGUGUGUGGUCUCGCCAACCACGAUGAUUAGUUGUGAUAUUCCUUUCUGAACCUAAAACUGGCGGACAACCAUGAUUUUGUCAUGUGUUUUCUGUCCUUGAUGACUGUUCAUUGCUUCUUUUUGGAGCUUUAAUAAAGGGAAUAUAAUCUGAGUGGU
rnacentral:snoRNA from 1 species